CGUGGUGUGAACUGUCUGCUUAAUUGCGAUAACGAGCGAGACUCCGACUGUUAAAUAGUGAAGGGUUUAUUGCUGACCUUUACACUUCUUAACGGGAUUCGCAACUUCAAGUUGCAAGAAAUGGAGCAAUAACAGGUCUGUGAUGCCCUUAGAUGUUCGGGGCGGCACGCGUGCUACAAUGAUGGUAACAGCGUGAUUGUCCUCGCCCGACAGGGCUUGGCAAACAGUUGAGAUAUUAUUAUGGCUGGAAUUGAGUGUUGAAAUUUUCUCUCAUGAACGAGGAAUUCCAAGUAAAUGCGAGUCAUCAACUCGCAUUGAUUACGUCCCUGCCCUUUGUAC
rnacentral:rRNA from 1 species